UGGUUCUCUCCCCUCCCCCAGACGUUACUGGAGACAACCACCAGUCUGUUGAACCACGACCUCCACUGGUCCCUGUCUCACCUGCGAGCGGCGGUCAGCAGGGGGCUCCACCCCCGUCAGGACCACUGUGACAUCUGCCUGCAGCAGUACAGGAGACGUCAGGACAGCCCAGAUGACAUCAUCAUAUUCAGCUGCGGCCACCUGUACCACUGCCAGUGUCUGCAGCGGAAGGGGAGUGGCCACGCGGAGCCCAGGUUGCUGCAGGUCUGGAGCUGCUACAAGUGUAUCUCCUCACAGAGAGGGAGGGGCGGGGACAGGGUCACCACGGAAACCGGGAGGGGGCGAAGCACCUCCCUCGCCCAGACCAAAGUGAUGUCCAGGGAAGCAGGGGAAGAUGGGAAAAAGGUAAGGACUGUUGUGGGUAACCUCUCAUAGGUAGCAUCCAGCCAGGCCAUCUGUCUGUCUUACAC